CCUACGGGAGGCAGCAGUGGGGAAUCUUGCGCAAUGGGCGAAAGCCUGACGGAGCAAUACCGCGUGAGGGAUGACGGCCUGUGGGUUGUAAACCUCUUUUCUCAAGGAAGAAGUUCUGACGGUACUUGAGGAAUAAGCAUCGGCUAACUCUGUGCCAGCAGCCGCGGUAAUACAGAGGAUGCAAGCGUUAUCCGGAAUCACUGGGCAUAAAGCGUCUGUAGGUUGUUUAGUAAGUCUGCUGUUAAAGACUGGGGCUUAACCCCAGAAAAGCAGUGGAAACUGCUAGACUCGAGUGUGGUAGAGGUAGAGGGAAUUCCUAGUGUAGCGGUGAAAUGCGUAGAUAUUAGGAAGAACACCAAUGGCGAAGGCACUCUACUGGGCCAUAACUGACACUGAGAGACGACAGCUAGGGGAGCAAACGGGAUUAGAUACCCCGGUAGUCCUAGCCGUAAACGAUGGAUACUAGAUGUGCACGUUACUUAACCCGUGCAGUAUCGUAGACGUAAGGUCGUUAAGUACGUCCCGCCGUAGGAAGCGCUCGACAGUAGAGAACCUAGAAAGUAUAGACGGNGNGAGAGCGACGACGACGACGACGAGGAGGAG
rnacentral:rRNA from 1 species